rnacentral:rRNA from 1 species
AUUGAACGCUGGCGGCAUGCUUUACACAUGCAAGUCGAACGGUAACAGGCCUUCGGGUGCUGACGAGUGGCGAACGGGUGAGUAAUGCAUCGGAACGUGCCCAGAGGUGGGGGAUAACGCAGCGAAAGCUGUGCUAAUACCGCAUGUGAUCUGAGGAUGAAAGCGGGGGACCAGGCAGCAAUGUUUGGCCUCGCGCCUUUGGAGCGGCCGAUGUCAGAUUAGGUAGUUGGUGGGGUAAAGGCCUACCAAGCCGACGAUCUGUAGCUGGUCUGAGAGGACGACCAGCCAAACUGGGACUGAGACACGGCCCAGACUCCUACGGGAGGCAGCAGUGGGGAAUUUUGGACAAUGGGCGCAAGCCUGAUCCAGCAAUGCCGCGUGCGGGAAGAAGGCCUUCGGGUUGUAAACCGCUUUUGUACGGAACGAAAAGGCUCUGGCUAAUACCUGGGGCUGAUGACGGUACCGUAAGAAUAAGCACCGGCUAACUACGUG